GCAAGUCGUACGCUUCUUUUUCCACCGGAGCUUGCUCCACCGGAAAAAGAAGAGUGGCGAACGGGUGAGUAACACGUGGGUAACCUGCCCAUCAGAAGGGGAUAACACUUGGAAACAGGUGCUAAUACCGUAUAACAAUCGAAACCGCAUGGUUUUGAUUUGAAAGGCGCUUUCGGGUGUCGCUGAUGGAUGGACCCGCGGUGCAUUAGCUAGUUGGUGAGGUAACGGCUCACCAAGGCCACGAUGCAUAGCCGACCUGAGAGGGUGAUCGGCCACAUUGGGACUGAGACACGGCCCAAACUCCUACGGGAGGCAGCAGUAGGGAAUCUUCGGCAAUGGACGAAAGUCUGACCGAGCAACGCCGCGUGAGUGAAGAAGGUUUUCGGAUCGUAAAACUCUGUUGUUAGAGAAGAACAAGGAUGAGAGUAACUGUUCAUCCCUUGACGGUAUCUAACCAGAAAGCCACGGCUAACUACGUGCC
rnacentral:rRNA from 1 species